CCUUAAAAUUCACGAAUUACAAAUUCCCGCUCCUCUGGCUUAGCGCUUCAAAGCUUUCCGCCGGUCGCAAAGACCUCUCGAGAUUAAGAAGGCAAUUUGUUGAGCUGAAGGAAAAAUAAAAAGGAAAAAUGGAUGAAUAUCAAGAAAUGGAGAAGUUUGGGAUGGAGAAUGAUUUUGAGGAUGGGCAAUGGAUUGGUGGAGAGUUUUAUUAUAGAAAACGUAGAGAAAAGCACACACAGACGAAAGAUGAUGUCUUGUAUGGUGUUUUUGCUUCUGGGGAUAGUGAUUCUGAUGAUUAUGGAGGUUUAGGGUCUUCGAGAAAAAGGAGGAAGGAUAAGGGGCUUUCCUCGAAACCUGACUUUAGUAAGCCUGUCAAUUUUGUGUCUACUGGUACUGUUAUGCCCAAUCAGGAAAUUGAUCGAAAUUUAGAGGAGGAGAAGCUAGAUGAUGAGGGUGAAGUUGAUCGAGUCCCAGCUGGGCUUGGUUUUGCUGCGAGUUCUUCUUCAUCAAAGGAAACAACUAUGUUGAUGGAGGAUGGUAGUAAAAAUGAUGAUGAGGACUUUUUACCAAGUGCGUUUGGGAAAAAGAUCAAAGAAGGAGCUCAAUUGAGACGCGAGAGGGAAAAGGAGAAAUCUAUGUUAGCUAAGAAGUCUUCUCGACUGGGGAGGAAGGAACUCGAGCCAGGCGAUGUGGGUUCCUUUGAGAAGCACACGAAGGGUAUUGGGUUGAGAUUGUUGGAGAAGAUGGGUUACAAAGGAGGGGGGUUGGGUAAAAAUGCGCAAGGUAUUGUGGCACCAAUUCAGGCUAAAUUGCGACCAAAGAAUAUGGGGAUGGGUUUUAAUGACUACAAAGAGACUAAUCUGCCAGUGCUGAAGGAACUAGAAGAGAAGAUUGUGACUUCUUCUGUUCAGCCUGCUGCGGUUCAGUUGAAAGAGAAGCUCUGGUCCAAGCAAGCCCGGAUUAAGAAGAAGGUUUAUGUUACAGCUGAGGAGUUGCUGGCGAAGAAGCAAGAGCAGAGCCUUGAAGUUGUGCAGAAAGUUUUCGACAUGAGGGGGCCUCAGGUUCGUGUCUUGACCAACUUGGAAAAUCUAAAUGCUGAAGAGAAAGCAAGAGAGAAUGACAUACCAAUGCCUGAGCUUCAGCACAAUAUUAAACUGAUUGUGGAUUUAGCUGAAUUAGAUAUACAGAAGGUAGAUCGAGACUUAAGAAACGAGAGGGAGACAGUUGUAAGUUUGCAGAAAGAGAGGGAGAAACUCCAAAACCAAGCAUCUAAGGAGAAGCAGGAGCUUGAUAGCAUGGGAGAUAUACUUAACAUAUUGGAGCAGAUAGGGGAGCAGAGCUCUUCGGGAACACUGACCCUAGAUUCUUUGGCUAAGUUGUUUGUGGACAUGCAGAAACGACACAGAGAAGAAUAUAAACUUUGCAAUUUAUCAUGCAUUGCAUGUUCAUAUGCCCAGCCCUUGUUUAUCAGAGUAUUUCAGGGUUGGGACCCUCUUCAGAAUCCAACACAUGGGAGAGAAAUGGUAUCCCAAUGGAAGUCCCUUUUGCAAGAAGACACUUUAAAUUUCGCUAACAGUUCAUCUCCUUACACACAACUGAUUAUGGAAGUUGUGUUUCCUGCUGUUAGAAUAUCUGGCACCAAUACUUGGCAGGCAAGAGAUCCCGAGCCAAUGCUUCGAUUUCUGGAUUCUUGGGAAAAAUUGCUGCCAACUCUUGUUGUUCAGAAAAUUCUGGACGAAAUUGUCAUGCCAAAAUUAUCAGCUGCUGUGGACUCUUGGGAUCCACGUCGAGAAACCAUUCCUAUCCAUUCUUGGGUUCAUCCAUGGCUUCCUUUAUUGGGACACAGGUUAGAGGCCUGCUACCACACAAUUCGUGAUAGAUUGGAAAGUGUUUUGCAUGCUUGGCAUCCCAGUGAUAUGUCAGCAUACUACAUUCUUUCACCUUGGAAGACAGUGUUUGAUUCAGCCAGUUGGGAAAAACUGAUGGUUCGCCAUAUAAUUCCCAAAUUGUUGACUGUCAUGCAUGAGUUCCAAAUAAACCCUGCAAACCAGAAUCUUGAUCAGUUCUAUUGGGUUCGGACCUGGGCAGCGACUGUCCCCAUCCAUCACAUGAUUCACAUAAUGGAUAUUUUUUUCAACAAGUGGCAAGAAGUUUUGUAUCACUGGUUAUGUUCCAGUCCAAAUUUUGAGGAAGUGACAAACUGGUACUUAGGCUGGAAGGAUCUAUUCCCACCUGAACUUUUAGCUAAUGAGCACGUUCGUCAUAGACUGAGUGUUGGCCUUGACAUGAUGAACAAAGCUGCUGAAGGCAUGGAAGUGGUUCAACCUGGUUUGAGAGAGAAUAUAUCCUAUCUUAGGGUGCGUGAGCAAAGGCAGUUUGAGAAAGCUGCUGCUCAGGCUCAAGAAAGAGCUUCUCAGCUGCAAGGAAGUAGUGGACUUGAGUUGAGUUUGAAAGAAGUUAUUGAAGUGCAUGCACAGCAGAAUGGUUUGCUCUUCAAGCCAAAACCAGGAAGAAUGCAAGAUGGUCACCAAAUAUAUGGUUUUGGUAACAUUAACAUUAUCAUUGACUCCCUCAAUCAGAAAGUCUUUGCUCAGAUAGACGAUAGGUGGUCUUUGGCAUCUUUGGAGCAGCUCUUGGAGUUGCACAGCCGUUCUGGUUUAAAGCGGCGCUAAGCAGCAAUAUUAUCCUAUUGUAGGAUAAUUUUGUUGUGGUUUAGGCAGGGAACCAGUGGAUUUUUGUUUGCUGUUGUGUGAAUAGUGAAGGUGUGACUAGACAAGCUGAUUAUACUGGAUGCAGAAUAUCUCAUCGAGUUGUCUAGUCAUGAUUCUUCUAUGAUUAGUGCUCUCUCUCUCUCUCUCUCUCUCUCUCUCCAUAAAUCUGGCUGGAGGUUGCACCCUAGAAAGAGAUAUUCUACUGGAAAUUAUGAAAUAUCAUCAGAUGAACAAUCAGAGGAUGUUGACAUGGAAAAGCUUAAAGCAUCAACAGCCGAAAUUAUAUUAACCUUUUCAACAUGAGAUCGCCUUCCAUCAGAGAAAAAUUUGAGUAAAAUGUUGAGGAGGUUUGGGCUGCUGAAAGAAUCUGAGACUGAAGUCUGUCCUGAUUUUCAUCGAGCCAGGGUAAUUUUUAAGAGGCAGAAGUUGCUUGUAGUAGAUCAGGAAGGAUCAAUGUUUUUGGGUCAAUGGUUGUCACUUACAGCAUGGCUACUCUCUAUCAAUUACUCAUGUUGCAAAGAUCAGAAGACGCACCCUGAUGUCACUGCCUUAGACAAGGGAGUAACAGGUUCUGCUCGUGUCUUGAUUAUGGAGUACAAAAUUAUAUGUUCAGAUGCUAUAUUAUAAGCAACUAGACUUGCGAGAGCCAUGAUCAGUGUUAAUAUCUCCUGUCUUCUUCUAAGGGAGCCAUGUUAUGGAUGAGAAUUUGGAGUCUGAAAUGCGUGCUCAUAUAUCCACAACUUGGCGUCUUGAACUCUCUUGGAUACUAGUUCAUACAUUUGAGCAAUCCAGGAUGAUAGAUGUGAGACAACCUACUUUAUCCACGUAAAACAUGAGUGGGGGUUGCUGAUUACCGGAUGCCCUGAAAUUAUUUUGGUUCUAACUUCUUAACUCUAGAAAUUUAAAGAACUUGCAGAAGUUUGACAGAAACCGUGUCGUUGAAUAAAUUCAGGUGGAUUACCAUUGUUUUUUUUUUUUAAAUCAAGAAUCACUUGCAAGGGAAUGGGAGGUAGUCAAAUCACAGUGGAUUUGUGGACUCUUUGGAAUCGAACUCCAAGCCUGCUUAUAGUGACAGAUAGGGAGAUCCUCCCUCACCAUCUGCAUUAAGUGAGCUGGUUAGAGCCGUGUAACACUUUUAUCAUAGUAAGAUAAAGUAUAUUCUGUUAUGG